GCGCUACGGGCAGCUAUACAUGCAGUCGAGCGAACAGAUGAGAAGCUUGCUUCUCUGAUGUUAGCGGCGGACGGGUGAGUAACACGUGGGUAACCUACCUAUAAGACUGGGAUAACUCCGGGAAACCGGGGCUAAUACCGGAUAAUAUUUUGAACCGCAUGGUUCAAUAGUGAAAGACGGUUUCGGCUGUCACUUAUAGAUGGACCCGCGCCGUAUUAGCUAGUUGGUAAGGUAACGGCUUACCAAGGCGACGAUACGUAGCCGACCUGAGAGGGUGAUCGGCCACACUGGAACUGAGACACGGUCCAGACUCCUACGGGAGGCAGCAGUAGGGAAUCUUCCGCAAUGGGCGAAAGCCUGACGGAGCAACGCCGCGUGAGUGAUGAAGGUCUUCGGAUCGUAAAACUCUGUUGUUAGGGAAGAACAAAUUUGUUAGUAACUGAACAAGUCUUGACGGUACCUAACCAGAAAGCCACGGCUAACUACGUGCCAGCAGCCGCGGUAAUACGUAGGUGGCAAGCGUUAUCCGGAAUUAUUGGGCGUAAAGCGCGCGUAGGCGGUUUCUUAAGUCUGAUGUGAAAGCCCACGGCUCAACCGUGGAGGGUCAUUGGAAACUGGGAAACUUGAGUGCAGAAGAGGAGAGUGGAAUUCCAUGUGUAGCGGUGAAAUGCGGCAGAGAUAUGGAGGAACACCAGUGGCGAAGGCGGCUCUCUGGUCUGUAACUGACGCUGAUGNGCGAAAGCUUGGGGAUCAAACUGGAU
rnacentral:rRNA from 1 species